rnacentral:rRNA from 1 species
UACGAAGGGGGCUAGCGUUGCUCGGAAUCACUGGGCGUAAAGGGUGCGUAGGCGGGUCUUUAAGUCAGGGGUGAAAUCCUGGAGCUCAACUCCAGAACUGCCUUUGAUACUGAAGAUCUUGAGUUCGGGAGAGGUGAGUGGAACUGCGAGUGUAGAGGUGAAAUUCGUAGAUAUUCGCAAGAACACCAGUGGCGAAGGCGGCUCACUGGCCCGAUACUGACGCUGAGGCACGAAGCG